ensembl:lncRNA
CCCCCUCCACCGCUGCAAUCCUCGCAGUUGUCCUGAGGAUGAAGAGGGAACUCUACGGAGGGAGAGCAUGGCCCUCCAGUGUGAGCGUGCAAACCCAGGGCCUGGAAGCCACAAACGCGUAGGUCUCGGGGUUCCAUCGGCAGCCAUUCUGCCUCCACUGCCCUGGGGUGGGGCCCAGAAGCAGACAGCAGGAACAGUGGGCUUCAGGGCAGAGUCAACAUCCCCGUGGACUGAGAGUACAAGGGAUCCUGGUGGGUGGAGUCAGGACAGACACCAUCUCCAUCUGCCCCCAGGGUUGAGUCUGAGACCCAGCAGGAAGUGGACGCCAGGACCUGGCCCGACCUCACGUCGACCACGAGGGCAGGCAGCAGGCACGGGCAGGGGUGAGGAGCACUCGGGCUGGGGCACCAGGGGUGGAGCCCUGGCCGGCCCUGGCUCCUCUAUGGCCACCCCACCCCCGGCAGGAGAAGGCAGAGUUAAUCCUGUUGGAAAAGGAAGUGCAGAGCCUUUGUUUGUGAUCCCACAAACAGGGAGCGAAUGGGCUGCAUCCUCCCGCACAGAGGCCCGCCUCGGACCAGCCUCUCUCCAGCAACGUCUGCCUUCCUUUCCCUGCUGCUGAAGUCCCCUCAGCACACAAACAGGCUGGCACCUCACAGCUGGAACCCAGGUCCACCCUCACCAGAAGAAGCCGACCCAGUGCACACAGACAAGGGUUGCGGUCUGUUUCCUUUCUCCCACCACCCCACGCCCCGACCUCUGAGGCUCCCCCCAGGCCUCCCCAGCACCUUUGCAGUCGGCCCUCCCCCAACAUGUCAUGGGGUCACCUGGGAAAAUCUGGUCUGUGUCCUGAGCUAUAAAAGGCAGGUGAUGGCACCAGCCCUUGGGGUUACAAGGAGCAUGAAUGAAGGCCCUUGGCAGGUGCUGGGCUCAAAGCCCCAGAGAUGAGGCCUAGGGUUGGGGUUCAAGUGACAUAUCCGAGGCCAAAUCUGAAACUAGGCCUCCAUGGGGGCAGCCCGCCUGGGCAGGCCCAUUGCGGGGCUUGCCUCCCUGCAGCCAGCUCGGCCCUCACAAAUGAAC